GCGUGAAGCUGCGGAGAGAAGGGAAGUCAGUGGUGAGGAGGACAGGAGGUCAGCAUGAAAAUGCAGUUCAAAGUCCAUGCAGUUCAGAGUCCAAGCAGCAGAUCCUUUCUUUCGGUUUAAUCUUUCCAAACUCCUAUUUUAUUUUUAUUUUAAUAAUGUGUAAUUAAUUUUAUUUUGGCUAGAGGUUAAUUCGAAACCAUGAAUAUAUUUGU
rnacentral:lncRNA from 1 species